rnacentral:rRNA from 1 species
GUAGGAAGACCUGAUGGAGGGGGAUAACUACUGGAAACGGUAGCUAAUACCGCAUAACGUCGCAAGACCAAAGAGGGGGACCUUCGGGCCUCUUGCCAUCGGAUGUGCCCAGAUGGGAUUAGCUAGUAGGUGGGGUAACGGCUCACCUAGGCGACGAUCCCUAGCUGGUCUGAGAGGAUGACCAGCCACACUGGAACUGAGACACGGUCCAG